rnacentral:rRNA from 1 species
AUUGAACGCUGGCGGCAGGCCUAACACAUGCAAGUGGAGCGGAUGAAGGGAGCUUGCUCCUGGAUUCAGCGGCGGACGGGUGAGUAAUGCCUAGGAAUCUGCCUGGUAGUGGGGGAUAACGUCCGGAAACGGGCGCUAAUACCGCAUACGUCCUGAGGGAGAAAGUGGGGGAUCUUCGGACCUCACGCUAUCAGAUGAGCCUAGGUCGGAUUAGCUAGUUGGUGGGGUAAAGGCCUACCAAGGCGACGAUCCGUAACUGGUCUGAGAGGAUGAUCAGCCACACUGGAACUGAGACACGGUCCAGACUCCUACGGGAGGCAGCAGUGGGGAAUAUUGGACAAUGGGCGAAAGCCUGAUCCAGCCAUGCCGCGUGUGUGAAGAAGGUCUUCGGAUUGUAAAGCACUUUAAGUUGGGAGGAAGGGCAGUAAGUUAAUACCUUGCUGUUUUGACGUUACCAACAGAAUAAGCACCGGCUAACUUCGUG